rnacentral:rRNA from 1 species
AUUGAACGCUGGCGGCAGGCUUAACACAUGCAAGUCGAGCGGGGUGAUGGUGCUUGCACUAUCACUUAGCGGCGGACGGGUGAGUAAUGCUUAGGAAUCUGCCUAUUAGUGGGGGACAACAUCUCGAAAGGGAUGCUAAUACCGCAUACGUCCUACGGGAGAAAGCAGGGGAUCACUUGUGACCUUGCGCUAAUAGAUGAGCCUAAGUCGGAUUAGCUAGUUGGUGGGGUAAAGGCCUACCAAGGCGACGAUCUGUAGCGGGUCUGAGAGGAUGAUCCGCCACACUGGGACUGAGACACGGCCCAGACUCCUACGGGAGGCAGCAGUGGGGAAUAUUGGACAGUGGGGGGAACCCUGACCCAGCCAUGCCGCGUGUGUGAAGAAGGCCUUAUGGUUGUAAAGCACUUUGAGCGAGGAGGAGGCUCUUUUGGUUAAUACCCAAGAUGAGUGGACGUUACUCGCAGAAUAAGCACCGGCUAACUCUGUGCCAGCAGCCGCCGUGA